rnacentral:rRNA from 1 species
CGCCUUUUGAAUGCAUAUAAGGUCUAGUCUGCCCACUGAAAAUUUAAAGGGCCGCGGUAUAUUGACCGUGCAAAGGUAGCAUAAUCAUUAGUCUUUUAAUUAAAGGCUGGAAUGAAUGGCUGGACGAGGUAUAAGCUGUCUCACUUAAAUUUUACUUAAUUUUUCUUUUUAGUGAAAAGACUAAAAUAAUUUUGAAAGACGAGAAGACCCUAUAGAGCUUUAUAAAUAUAUUUAUUUAUUUUUAGGAAGGAGUUAAAUACUUAAAUAAAUUUAUUUUGUUGGGGUGACAUAAAAAUAGGAAAACUUUUUAAAUUAAAUACAUUAAUAUAUGAAUAUAUGAUCCAGUAAUAUUGAUUAUAAGAUUAAGUUACCUUAGGGAUAACAGCGUAAUCUUUUUUGAGAGUUCUAAUCGACAGAAAGGAUUGCGACCUCGAUGUUGGACUAAGGGAAAUUUUAGGUGUAGCCUUUUAAAUAUUAAGUCUGUUCGACUUUUAAAACCUUACAU